rnacentral:rRNA from 1 species
GGGUGGCGGACGGGUGAGUAACGCGUAAAGAACUUGCCUCACAGAUAGGGACAACAUUUGGAAACGAAUGCUAAUACCUGAUAUUAUGAUUUUAGGGCAUCCUAGGAUUAUGAAAGCUAUAUGCGCUGUGAGAGAGCUUUGCGUCCCAUUAGCUAGUUGGAGAGGUAACGGCUCACCAAGGCGAUGAUGGGUAGCCGGCCUGAGAGGGUGAUCGGCCACAAGGGGACUGAGACACGGCCCUUACUCCUACGGGAGGCAGCAGUGGGGAAUAUUGGACAAUGGACCAAGAGUCUGAUCCAGCAAUUCUGUGUGCACGAUGAAGUUUUUCGGAAUGUAAAGUGCUUUCAGUUGGGAAGAAAAAAAUGACGGUACCAACAGAAGAAGUGACGGCUAAAUACGUGCCAGCAGCCGCGGUAAUACGUAUGUCACAAGCGUUAUCCGGAUUUAUUGGGCGUAAAGCGCGUCUAGGUGGUUAUAUAAGUCUGAUGUGAAAAUGCAGGGCUCAACUCUGUAUUGCGUUGGAAACUGUGUAACUAGAGUACUGGAGAGGUAAGCGGAACUACAAGUGUAGAGGUGAAAUUCGUAGAUAUUUGUAGGAAUGCCGAUGGGGAAGCCAGCUUACUGGACAGAUACUGACGCUGAAGCGCGAAAGCGUGGGUAGCAAACAGGAUUAGAUACCCUGGUAGUCCACGCCGUAAACGAUGAUUACUANGUGUUGGGGGUCGAACCUCAGCGCCCCACCCAAACGCGAUAAAUAAUCCCCCCCUGGGGAGUACGUACGCAAGUAUGAAACUCAAAGGAAUUGACGGGGACCC